AUUGAACGCUGGCGGCAGGCUUAACACAUGCAAGUCGAGCGGGGGAGGUUGCUUCGGUAACUGACCUAGCGGCGGACGGGUGAGUAAUGCUUAGGAAUCUGCCUAUUAGUGGGGGACAACGUUCCGAAAGGAACGCUAAUACCGCAUACGCCCUACGGGGGAAAGCAGGGGAUCUUCGGACCUUGCGCUAAUAGAUGAGCCUAAGUCGGAUUAGCUAGUUGGUGGGGUAAAGGCCUACCAAGGCGACGAUCUGUAGCGGGUCUGAGAGGAUGAUCCGCAACACUGGGACUGAGACACGGCCCAGACUCCUACGGGAGGCAGCAGUGGGGAAUAUUGGACAAUGGGCGGAAGCCUGAUCCAGCCAUGCCGCGUGUGUGAAGAAGGCCUUUUGGUUGUAAAGCACUUUAAGCGAGGAGGAGGCUCCUUUAGUUAAUACCUAAAGAGAGUGGACGUUACUCGCAGAAUAAGCACCGGCUAACUCUGUGCCAGCAGCCGCGGUAACAC
rnacentral:rRNA from 1 species